rnacentral:rRNA from 1 species
UAUUCCCAAACAACUCGACUCGUCGAAGGAGAUUUACAUAGGGUGCCAUUUCCUGUCACAUACGGGAUUCUCACCCUCUAUGACGUCCUGUUCCAAGGAACUUAGACAGGCGGCUUCCCCAAAUCAUCCUCUACAAAUUACAAUGCGAACCCGAAGGCUAGCUUUCAAAUUUGAGCUGUUGCCGCUUCACUCGCCGUUACUAGGGCAAUCCCUGUUGGUUUCUUUUCCUCCGCGCUUAUUGAUAUGCA